GCUACGUCGUCAAUGACGCUUCUCUUCUUCGACCCAGAGGAAACAAUCACUCGACGAUAUUCCUCUCAGUCAUCACUUUACACUGAUGAAGCUGUGGGGAUGCUUCUUAGUGACCAUUGGUUCCAUUUCCUUCGUUGGGUUUGUGUUUGUAGCUCUAGUGUCCAAACUGUUUCCGUUUUCUGGCAAUCCCAUAAUCCAAGCUAUCCAGAAUGACAGGUACUACUGCUUCUUAGCCCCACUGACUCUACCAGCAUUACUUGUUUCUGUCUACUUUCAUUGGCUUACCAUGAAGCUGUUCAAACACGCAUGAGAUUUAUCAUGGUAUGAUUUUGGUAAUUUCUUUCAUAUUAUGAAUCUAAUUGUGGCAUUAGUUAACGCAAGGUGGGGAAACUAUGUUGAUUGUUUGGGUAAAUUACAAUCUAAUUGUUUUUUAGUUUAAUUAGUUUAUAGUGGCAGAAA